rnacentral:tRNA from 1 species
GGUUUUGUAUUCAAUAAUGAUUUUAGAUUGCAAGUUUAAAGGGGAAGAUUACUUCCAAAACCU